UACGUAGGGUGCAAGCGUUAAUCGGAAUUACUGGGCGUAAAGCGUGCGCAGGCGGUUGUGCAAGACCGAUGUGAAAUCCCCGGGCUUAACCUGGGAAUGGCAUUGGUGACUGCACGGCUAGAGUGUGUCAGAGGGGGGGGUAGAAUUCCACGUGUAGCAGUGAAAUGCGUAGAGAUGUGGAGGAAUACCGAUGGCGAAGGCAGCCCCCUGGGAUAACACUGACGCUCAUGCACGAAAGCGUGGGGAGCAAACAGG
rnacentral:rRNA from 1 species